UACAGAGGUCCCAAGCGUUGUUCGGAUUCACUGGGCGUAAAGGGUGCGUAGGUGGUUAGGUAAGUCCGAUGUGAAAUCUCCAGGCUCAACCUGGAAAUGGCAUUGGAUACUAUUUAGCUUGAGGAGUGGAGGGGGGACUGGAAUUCUCGGUGUAGCAGUGAAAUGCGUAGAUAUCGGGAGGAACACCAGUGGCGAAGGCGAUCACCUGGGGUUGUUCUGACGCUGAGGAGCGAAAGCUAGGGGAGCAAACGGG
rnacentral:rRNA from 1 species